rnacentral:rRNA from 1 species
AGCCCAACAGCUAGCCCACCCAAGAAGAACAAAACCCCCACAUUAAUAAACCCGCAUGCAAUACAUCCACACACUAAAACAUUUUACCCCUUUAGUAU